GCAUAGCCGUAAACCUUGAUGAACAUUUACUUAGUCAUCCGCCCGGGUACUACGAGCACUAGCUUAAAACCCAAAGGACUUGGCGGUGCUUUAAACCCACCUAAAGGAGCCUGUUCUAGAACCGAUAACCCCCGUUAAACCUCACCCUCUCUUGUUCUUCCCGCCUAUAUACCGCCGUCGUCAGCUUACCCUGUGAAGGCUUAGUAGUAAGCAGAGUCAGUUAUACUCAAAACGUCAGGUCGAGGUGUAGCAUAUGAGAGGGGAAGAAAUGGGCUACAUUCCUUAAUUUAAGGCAUUACGGAUAAUAUGAUGAAAAGAAUAUUAGAAGGAGGAUUUAGCAGUAAGCAGAAAACAGAGAGUCCUGCUGAAACUGGCCCUAAAGCGCGC
rnacentral:rRNA from 1 species